rnacentral:rRNA from 1 species
ACUCAAAUGAAUAGACGGGAACUCGCACAAGCGGUGGAUCAUGUGGCUUAAUUCGUCGGUAAGCGAAGAACCUUACCAGGGCUUGAAACUAUGCUGCACGGCUCGGGAAACCGAGUCAGCCUUCGAGGGUGCAUAGCAGGUGAUGCAUGGUCGUCGUCAGUUCGUGGCUUGAGCUGUUCCCUUAAGUGGGGAAACGAACGCAACCCCCGUUGUCUGUUUUAUAUGUCAGGCGAGACUGCUCCCUCACGGGAGAGGAAGGUGGGGAUGACGCCAGAUCAGCAUGUCCCUCUGAUGUCCUGGGCUGCACACGUGAUACAAUGGUUAUGACAAAAGGAUGCAAGACCGCAAGGUGGAGCAAAUCCUAGAAACAUAACCUCAGUACGGAUUGGAGUCUGCAACUCGACUCCAUGAAGCUGGAAUCGCUAGUAAUCGUAGGUCAGCCAUACUACGGUGAAUACGUUCUCGAGUUUUGUACACACCGCCCGU